UAGGGUCUUGCCAGACCUCCUGGAUGCCAUGCUGGGGAACCUGCUGGCAGAGUCCCCAGACACCGGCAGGCUCCACUACUUCUUGGAGAACUCAGCAGAAUUCCACAGGAUGGGUCACCAUGUGGCACAGCUGGCUCUGUUCAUCGGUGACCCAGCCAAGGACAUCAGCCAGCAGGCCAGGGAGGGGGUUUACCAGCUCUACCAGCUGCUGCUGCACCAGAGGAGUAAGGAACCCAGCUGGGAAAUGGCACCCGAUAGAAGAGUGAGACUGGGACCCCAGCCAAUUUCUCUCAGACUGACCCCGGCUGGAGGAUGAGUCUCUGUCUGUCUCUUUCUCUGUUCUACACCACCCCUUGCAAUUCUGCUGGGCCAGGCACACAGCGAGGACUCUGCCCACUGUGCAGCCACCAAUGGGAUUGGAAGGACACAAGCACUGCAACCAGAAUAACAACUGUGUGUGUCUCUCCCAGGGCUGACCAUCCAUGAGGCUGAAGACCUGUGGUGUUGGGACUGGCACCAGGACAGCAGGCUCCUGGGCUACAAGAACACAGCCAGGGUAGGGGAGGUCUUCGGAAAGUUCUUCUUGGAGGUGCAGACAUCUUUCCUCUGGAUGGCAGUGCUGGCCAUCCAUGACCCCCUGCUGCGUGUCAGCCAAUCUGGGCUGCUCCUCACCUACUCCCUCCUGGGGGAAGCCCAGCAGCUGAUGGGGGACAAGGAGGACGUCGUGGCCAAUGUGAUGCGCCAGCUCUGCAUCAUCCAGCGCUUGCGCCAAGUGCCUGAGGCACUGCAGGGGCUGUGCCUCUGAGGCCACCAGCCACUCCCACUCCCAGCUGCAGGAUCCUUCCCUCUGCCCCCCAGAUUCCUUCAUCUGGGGCAGAAGCCUCCUUUCCAGCUGUCUUCCAGGCCCUGGGAUCUGGCAAAGCCUCCCAGACGGGCGCAACCUGCAGCUGAGCCACCUCAGGGAGCAGUGGGGACAGGUCACCUCCUCCCAUCAAACCAAGCAAUGCUGGCUCUCAAAGAGGCUUAGAUGGAAGACCCCACUCCCUCAUGGAGGAAGCAUCUCCCCAGAGAUGUCCUCGAACCUGGACUCCUGAGAGCACUUCCGGCAGGAGGCUCCAGCCCCUCAGGCAUGAAGAGAGCAUCAGGUAGUCUCAUUCCCAUGGCAUCUCCUGUCUCCAGCUCCACUUCCCACAGCAGGGCAAAUGAACCCAUCAGCUCCCAGAAUCCCAACUCCUUGACAUCCUUCCGCUCAGCAGUGGGGUUUCUCCAGCACCCUCACCACACCUGUCAGCUUCUGAAUGAUGAAGGGCCUGAAUGUCAGAGUCACCAGAACAAGCACACUCCAGUUCCAGGCAAUGAGGCCUUCGUGUACUCAGCCCCUUUGGAAACCAGGUGGGGUGCAAGGACCCCAGCGCAGUAACAGUAGGAGUGGGCUAGGUGCUUUCCCCUGGGCUGCACAGCCUGGGGAUUAGCCAAGCUGAUUAUAAAAUGAGCCCUAACUGAGAGGCACCAUGUACCUCCCCAUAACAUCACAGGGCUGUGAUGCCAUGUCUGCCCACCAGCGGGGCACGUAACUCCCAGUAGAUUCGUUUCUGAUUGGCAUAGUCAGGAGGAUUGAAUUCCCCCGGUGAUCCGUGAGGGCUGAUGGAAGUCUUGGUUGCUGAAGGCAGGUCUGUUCUCCCAAGCGGGUGUCUCGAGGGACCGAGCUGGUCACUGGAUUUCCCACUUCAGUUCCCGGGACAAUUUAAACAGCCAAAGCAGGUCUAGGGGUUUCUCCAGCAGUUCCUAGAAAACCAACAGAAGCAGAAGGAAGUACAGGUGGAGCUACAGACGCAGCAGCAGCAAUGCCUGUGAGAGAUCCUGCAAAGGGAAAUCAACCCAGGGUCUGCUAUGCCCAUGCAUAAAAAGAGCAGACACAGAGAGCAUGCCUGGGCUGUGCUGAGAAGGUUAGCCCAGGAGAGCAGGGCAUGAGAAAGUCUACAAGCGUGGCCUAGUGCCAAGAUGGGGACAAGACCUUGCAGACCCUCCACCCACACACCCUGUCAGAUGCUGCAGGGAGGUGAAGGACGAAAUGGUUGGCCCAGAGAUGAAGCAGACUGAAGAAGGGACAACUACAAGGGUGGAGCUGUCCAUGGUGGGUUCUCAGACCCUGACGGAAAAGGUUUUGGUGUAUGCAGCAGCAGUAGCAAAAAGGCUACAGAAGAAGCUAAAGGCUUCAGAAGAGGCUCUGCAAGCAGUGGUUAAUGAGAAUGAGUGGCUGCAGGAAGAGCGCUGGGAUACUGCAGAAGAGAAGGAUUGCUUCUUCAUUCUGGUGAGCGAGCUGGCAGUGGAGCUGGAGACUCUGUGCGUGCAGGCUGUACAAGCAUGCAGCCGGUGACAGUGACGAGAUGACGAGGGAUGAAGCUUGGACAAGAAUAGAACUUGCCCCCCAUGUGGGCCAGGUUCUAAGGAGGAGGGUAUGUAACAGGGGGGCUUGGCCUGUGGGCUAUAAAGCCUGGAGCUAGGCCAAAUGGAUUACAGAGUGAGCUCCACCUGAGGGGAAAACCAGGGAAAACCACAGCAAAGGUACAGGAGUAGGCCCUGCUGUUCGAUACAGGGCUUUGGGGCAGAACCUUGAAUCCAGGAUAGGACUGGUUCUCCCAUGAUCUCUAAGGAAGGGGAUGUACAAGGCCACAGAAAAGGUUACUAAGGCCAGCAAGGGCAGGCUGAGCCAAAGUCAGGUUGAGGAAGAGCCCUCAAAGGGACAGAAG